rnacentral:rRNA from 1 species
CAAUAGCGUAUAUUUAAGUUGUUGCAGUUAAAAAGCUCGUAGUCGGAUUUUGGCUGAGAACGAUCGGUCCGCCGUUAGGUGUGCACUGAUUGGUCUCAACUUCCUGGUGAGGAGGUGUGCUUCACGGCCACUUAGUCACCGUGGUUACUUUGAAAAAAUUAGAGUGUUCAAAGCGGGCUUACGCUUGAAUAUAUUAGCAUGGAAUAACACCAUAGGACUCCUGUCCUAUUUCGUUGGUCUCGGGACGGGAGUAAUGAUUAAGAGGAACAGUUGGGGGCAUUCGUAUUUCAUUGUCAGAGGUGAAAUUCUUGGAUUUAUGAAAGACGAACUUCUGCGAAAGCAUUUGCCAAGGAUGUUUUCAUUGA